CCUACGGGGGGCAGCAGUGGGGAAUAUUGGGCAAUGGGCGCAAGCCUGACCCAGCAACGCCGCGUGAAGGAAGAAGGCUUUCGGGUUGUAAACUUCUUUUCUCAGGGACGAAGCAAGCGACGGUACCUGAGGAAUAAGCCACGGCUAACUACGGGCCAGCAGCCGCGGUAAUACGUAGGUGGCAAGCGUUAUCCGGAUUUACUGGGUGUAAAGGGGGGGGAGGCGGGAAAGCAAGUCAGAUGUGAAAACCAGGGGCUCAACCUGUGGCCUGCAUUUGAAACUGUUUUGCUUGAGUACUGGAGAGGCAGACGGAAUUCCUAGUGUAGCGGUGAAAUGCGUAGAUAUUAGGAGGAACACCAGUGGCGAAGGCGGCCUGCUGGACGAUGACUGACGUUGAGGCUCGAAAGCGUGGGGAGCAAACAGGAUUAGAUACCCUUGUAGUC
rnacentral:rRNA from 1 species